rnacentral:lncRNA from 1 species
AGAGCGAGUUAGCCAGUUUACAGGGUUAUCUACCCUAGAAAACUCUUGCCUGUGUAUGAUGGGAGACAUGCACAGCCAUGCUUUUAACAGCCUCAUUUAAGAUGCCAGAAACCAGAAAUGAUCCAAGUUUCUAUUCACACCAGAGGGGGUUAAAUCAGUUGUGAAAAACUAUAUAGAACAUUUAAGAAGAAUGAACUGAAGCUACAUUCAACUAAACAAUAUUAGCAAUAUGAAGAGGUUAUCUCCUAAAAGUUAAAUGAUCACACAAAAUUCAGUGGGCACUUUCUCUCUGAUGGUGGGAUGUGAGUAUGCCUGGGGAGGGAAUCCUGGGGAAUAGGAUUCAGGUUCUGUUUUCUUAAACUGGGUGGUAGAUUCCCAGGGGCUUAUUUCCCUCUAACUUAUAUUAUAAAUAUACAUUGUGUGUCCUGAUGUUUAAGUAUACUAUUUCACAAUUUAAAGGGUUUUUGGAAAGGAAAAAAAAAACAAAAACAGUUACUCUGUGCAUGUGUGAUAUUGCAUUCAUUCAAAAGCACAGCCUUUCACUUGCUUUUUAACCCUGAGCCCUCUCAAGUAGGGCCAUGUUCUGUUGAUCUUUUCUCUACAACUCAGCUCCUCUCUCAUAUCCUGUCCUACGUGAUCUCUAGGUUACAUAUUUUACCUAUGACAUGAAUAUCAUCCUUGGAGAAAUAAAAUAAGGAGUGUCCUUGUUGUGUUUGACUCAUCUCAGUCACUUUCUCUGCGUGGGGCACAGACCGAAGGGAAGCAGGACCUGCAGUCCAUAGCCACGGAGCUCAGAGGACCUGGGGGAGCGGGUGGCCUAAGGGGCCCAGCCCCUCUAUCUUGUAAGCCCUCUGCGUCCUCUUGCAACAGAACUCCUGGACUCAUACUCUUGGAGAGAGGUUAAGAAAAUUAAAAGUGACAGACUUCCUGAGGUUUCUUUAGAAUGGCCAGGUUUCCAGGGGAUUCUGCAGCUCUCAACCCACACUGAGGCCAGGGUGGCAAAAGCAGGUUUAGUCCACUUGCAAACCGGACCUCUAGCUUGUUGCUGAAACCAUUGAAUGAGUUGGGGUUUUUUUUUUGUUGUUGUUAAAGAAGUCAAAGCACCCUAGCACGUACUUUCCCUUAAGUCUCCUAUUUUUUCCCCUUUCCCUUAGAAAUGUCAAAUUGAAUCUCUGUUAGAAACAUUCAGAGUAUCAGGCAUAAGUCAUCUUCCUUAGGUUAAAACAAAAAUAAACCUGUGUUGCUUGGGUCUGUAUUUUAAUUCUGGCACCUGUAUCACCUGUAAGCCAUUAUCACGUUGGGACCAUCAUUGCCUCCACCUGAGGGCAACUGAGUCUUUCCCCGAGCAAAAGUCCUCUUAGCAGAAAGAGUUUAUGAGGCCUACUAAUCUUAUCCAUCCUAGGCUGUGGGUUUCAGAACCUUGAUCUUCUGUCUCCUCUAGGUCUUGGCUUUAACCAACAUGUCCAAUCAAUACACA